UUGCUCGGAGCACAACCCAAGGACCAAGUCAGUGACUCAAUUUUAUAAAGGGGAAUUAAAACCGACAUUAUACCCCCGGGGUUUGUACAGUGUGAUGAUGAAUAUAGAUGCUCUCUAGAAUCUGUCAAACCUGAGAAUCAAAGGUGUAGUAGUACUUUUUCAAGUAACUGAUUAUGAAAGUGUUUAUUUCUUGAUACACUGCCAAAUGUCUAUAGAUAAGAGUACAAAAAGAUAUCAAGAAAGAAUAAAGGAUGAAGACGAGAGGAAGAGAAAAGUCGAAAACCAGAAGUAUCCUUUUACCUUUCAACAACGCCGAACAAAAUGGAGGCCAAGCGAGAGAAUGAGAUAGAGAAGAUAGGCGUGCCACGGGGAAUGAAGGAAGAGAGAGACCCUCAAAAUAAUCGUGAAUGAGGCUAUCGAAUAAAAAGAGCAAAGGAAAAAUGCGCCGGCGUUGGAAAAAUGUGGAUUAAACGGUGUGCCCUUAGCUUUUUGUGAGAAUAUCGACCAAGGGAGCCUCAAAAGGAAAAACAAUCGAAAAGGAAAAUAUCUAAAAGAGAAACGUGAAGAGAGUAUAUCUGUAUAUUAUACAGAAAUAGGUGGAAAGGAAAAUAUACCAUAGAGAAAAGACGCGGCUGAGUGAAACAAAAAGGAGGUUACAAUAAAAAGGAGAAAGCAGGAACAAGUGGUUUGCGAUGCCAAACGCAAAAAUAGAAAUCCGAAGAUGUAAUACCCACAAUGAAAGGAUGAGAUAAGUGAAAUGGAGGACGGGAAGGAGAAGAACGGGCAGAGUCGAAAGGGUGGUCUAACGAAGGUGUGUGAUGUAAACAUAGGGAAGUAAGUAAAUCGAUAGCCAAUGUAGCUAAGAUAAGGGGGAGGGAACGAGUGGUGAAACAAACGAGGUAGAGCGAAAGAAUAAAAUUAGAAUAAAAGACUCUACAACCCACACGCCAUGCUUAUGCAAAUGCUGUGCUGCACUUUUUACUUAUUUUCUUUUUUUUUCAUUUUGACAAACAGAAAAAUUUGCUGGGCCCAAACGCGCAUUCCGGUGCCGCGCAAGUAGGACUCGAGGGCGACGUCCCUGGUGAGAAUGUCGAAUUGAAUAUGACUUUAGGCUCAGCCAAAAGUUAUUAAAAUUAAAACUGGCUGCUGAUGGAGACUGAAAAUGGCAAACCUGCAAGACAUAGCGGGGCAAGUGGUGAAUAUGGUAGACUAGAACGUAUCUUCAGUAUUCCCAAAUUUUUUCGUGUGUUGAACCUUGUUCAAGGAAAGAGUUAGGACUGCGGAGCAGCUGGGCUUGGGGGAGUGUUAUUAUUAUUGGGUGACUGCCUUGAUUGUCUCGAAGUAGAUCGUCGGCCGCGACUCGGCGGGCCCGAAUGGGAAGGGCUAUGGGGGAAAUCAGGUGCCAAGUCUGGAUUUUGACUUGGAGGAACGCGAGUGGAAUAUGGGUAGUCACUGAUUACCGGGUCAUCUUCUCUUGUAUCAGGAUGGACUUCAACUCCCUGAUGCUGCCCGAGACCCGAAUGUCGACUGGAGGGUGAAAGCUUGAAAGCGUCUGCCUCUCCUGGACUUCGUCCCACAGGCGACCAACCUCCGAUACUACCGGCAACUACACCUGCCAUCACCGCUGCCGGCCUCAGAUUUGAGUUGGAUCGCGACCGGCUGCUGCG
rnacentral:sRNA from 2 species